rnacentral:rRNA from 1 species
AGGACGAACGCUGGCGGCGUGCUUAACACAUGCAAGUCGAGCGAGGCUCCUCCUUCGGGAGGAUGCCCUAGCGGCGAACGGGUGAGUAACACGUGAGCAACCUGCCCUUAGCUCUGGGAUAGCUCCGGGAAACCGGAAUUAAUACCGGAUAUUACACCGGCUGGCAUCGGCUGGUGUGGAAAGAUUUAUCGGCUAAGGAUGGACUCGCGGCCUAUCAGCUUGUUGGUGGGGUAAUGGCCUACCAAGGCGACGACGGGUAGCCGGCCUGAGAGGGCGACCGGGCCACGACUGGGACUGAGACACGGCCCAGACUCCUACGGGAGGCAGCAGUGGGGAAUUUUGCGCAAUGGGGGAAACCCUGACGCAGCAACGCCGCGUGGAGGAUGAAGUCCCUUGGGACGUAAACUCCUUUCGACCGGGACGAUUAUGACGGUACCGGAUGAAGAAGCCCCGGCUAACUUCGUGCCAGCAGCCGC